GGUCAGAACCAGCCGUACACGUGGUCAUUCCCACAAGGGACUGGAGGGAAGUAUCCGAACCACGUUGGAGGCGGACCUCUGAACUCUUUUUCGUUGCUCUUUGCUCGCAACUCGCUUCGCAUCCACGGCAGAGUUUUAAUGAUCCUUAAUAAACCUCAUAGAAGUUUUCGAAAACUUCCGGUCAAGAUGGCGGCUUAGAGGCAGCAAAAGUUCAGACCUCUGAAAACCCUUCCUUACCGAUCACAAACUGAAUGCUCCUAGGGCACCGAAAUUCAAAGUGAACAACAGGACAGAUCCGGGGAACCCUCCUUCUGGACUCGGAUCAAAAGAAGAUGUUGUAAGUCUUCAUAGAAUUUAGCGACUCUGGCCUCAGCUGUGGAUGCGUCUGGAAAUGAAAGGAAAGUCUGAUUCUGGAACGAUCUCAUAGGAACCUGGAAUGCAAGAUCUGUGAACCAAGCAGCCCUGCUGUCUGCGGUCCAGAAAUCCGUGGUCCCCCAGCCCAGACCGGGUCACCGUGACAACGGAAGCGCCCCGAGGCGGGCGUCAGCUUCAGCCACGGGCCCAGACAGCGCCCUUCUUGAGCGCACCAUUGCAAACGGCUGUCUGAAACCUGACUGCUCGGCACCGAUUCUGCCAUUACGUGUUUUGGAGCAUGGAGCCGGGCGUGCCUAAAGUACGGACGCAGGGAAGAGAACGAGGGCAGCCUUUCCUUCGGGGGCUCUGCCUGUGGGCCAGAGGAGCUGCUCCCGCCGGGUGGGCCCAAACAGCACCGGAUUGUCUGUCCUUGACGGCGCUGAGGAUGCCCCCUGUGCGUGCCAUUCGCGGUCUUUCCUACGAGGCCAGACUCGCUGCCGUUAAAUCCCCUGCCAUCGCCAGGAGCCCCCCCCAACUCUGGUCAUCUGGCUGCAGCUUUGACAAUAGCCGAUGUGGACCAAGGCGUCGAGCCUCCAGGCCUGUUGGGACGCCCUGAGGGCCAGGACGGUUUCCAGACGGCACCUUCAUCGCAUCCCAAUCACAGCACCAGGGCCACCCCCGCGUGUUCGCUAUGCCCCAAACACUAGUGGAUAGCUGUGGCCCAACUUGAAAGAGAGGCUGGCCAGUAGCUCCACCAUCGCUAGGCUUCAAACUCUUGGCCAGAAGAACGAGCUCGUCCCUCACUAGUCCUGGGACACGAGUCCGAGGCCUGUCUCAGCCCUUCGUGAGCUCUGGCCACACGGCCGGUACCCUGAGAAACCGACGCUCAGGUCAGGGACCCUUCUGGACUGCCGCAGAGACCACAGCAACGUAAAUCUAUAGCCAGCCCGACUUCCGGGACCAAAUCCCCUAGAGAAGAAUCCACAGACGCAACCGAGACAAAAACGCUCCUCGUGCUGGGGACAGAACCUUGUGACUUGGCAAAACCCCCAAGACGGAGACUUGGGCGGCUGUAAAAUUCAAAAACAAAUAAGUGGGCGCUGCUGCCCUGACCUCGCCUCCACUAGGUCUUGAGCACGGAGCUGGCGCUGGAUUGGGCCACGGCUCCCGCGAAGCUGAGCUGCAUGGUAUUCUGAACUUCAGACCAUACUUCCGUUCUUCCCAGGCCCCACGGCUAGAAUGUUCCUGAAGGACCCAACACCUAGAUGUCGCCUGUCCUCCCUGCUCGGGCCACAGCCCAAGGCAGCGCCUCGAAUGGGCCGACAUAUCGCGGGCCUGCCAUUUAUGGGAGUGGGCUGCUUCUGGGGACCAUGCCUCUGCCUGGCUCAGGCCCACGAUACACGAUAGCGGAAAGAAUGCCAGGUAGGUAUCUGGUCUUGCUCCUGAUAAAGCACCCCCAUGUUGAUCCAGGGGGUUCAGAGGACUCUGGGGAGAGGUUGGAAUGACAUUUGGGUUAUAUGUGGAAGAUGAGAAAUGCCUCAGGAGGUGGUUUUUUUCAAGUAAAAGUUAUGAACAAACAUCUGCAGACUUUGUAGCCAUGGAGAAUGGUUAAAGAGCCCAUUCCAAAAACCAAUGAAUAUUUACUCAAAGG